UACGUAGGGCGCAAGCGUUGUCCGGAAUUAUUGGGCGUAAAGAGCUCGUAGGCGGUCUGUCACGUCUGCUGUGAAAACCCGGGGCUUAACCCUGAGCUUGCAGUGGGUACGGGCAGACUAGAGGUAGGUAGGGGAGAAUGGAAUUCCCGGUGUAGCGGUGAAAUGCGCAGAUAUCGGGAGGAACACCGGUGGCGAAGGCGGUUCUCUGGGCCUUACCUGACGCUGAGGAGCGAAAGCGUGGGGAGCGAACAGG
rnacentral:rRNA from 1 species